AUAUGGCGCGCAGUCCCAGAAGCCUGGCUGUUUGUGGCCCGGCUGACGGUCAAUACCGGCUUCCGGAAACGCGAUGUGAGGCCGCGUUAGGCCACCUAGCCCCCCUGAACCACCUGAUAGAUGAAUUUCACAGCUUGAGUGACUCCGGUCGGGCCUGCAGAUGAAGCCCUAGUGAGCUGGGAGAGCUGGUCCACUCCGUGGUAUAGGAUAGUCAUGUCAUGGGAUUAAAUUGUAUGACUUCCGGAUACCUUCCACCUCGAAUUUCCUAUGACUCUAUGAUGCUACUUAAGAAGACAAGACCCAAGAAACACUUAAUGAACAACAGCAUAUGUGAUGAAAUACAGCCAAUGAGUCCCAAAGAGCCAGAAAACAGACUCUGGAGAAGGAGGAUUUGGGAAGCAAGAUCAAAUCUGGGUGAAGGUUGAGGAUGGGGAGUCAUUUCAGUCUCUUCACUCCUAGGUCAUCAAGCCCAACGUGAGAAGCGGAAUCGAUGUGAAUUGUGGGCUCACAGCCUGGAUCACCUCAGCCUCAAGCGAGGAGGAAUCCCAUAGCUGAGAUGAGUCCCAUUUGAACAACAGGAAGAAUGAAAGAAUUUGAAGUUUGUAAGAGGGCAUGGAAAUAGUGCAUAGAAAGCUGAGGAAGGGGGUCACUAUUUUUCAUAUUUAUCAUCAGAAAGCUUUUUAUACAGAAAAUAGUGGAUCCAUCAGUCAUCCUUUGUGAAAUUCCAUGGGGAUAGGUCAUGAGUCAACACAGCAAGAGGGAUUUGUGUUAGCUACAAAGAAAAUAUUUGCUGAUAGGACAGGCUAUAAAAUGGUGGGGCGAAUCUUUAAAUCUUAAGCUGAAUUCCAUCAAUUUCAGUGGUCUGCUCUUUGAUGGAGGUGUAGCAGUAUUGUUUACUAGAUAUAUCAAAGUCCUUCCUACAUCAGAGAGUCUGGAAUUUUUCUUAGUGACUCUGUUUUACUUAAGUAUGCCUAUUUUAAGAAAAAAAAUUAUUUCAGGGUUGAUCACAGAAUCCUUUAAGCACAAGGAAUUCUGUAAGAGGACUGUCUUACUAAAAUGUUACCUUUAAUGGCUUUAGAAAAAUCCCUGGAGUGCAGAAAAUGUCAUUGGAACAUCUAUUAAUGUUUACUCUUUAGAAGCGUUUUUAACAAGGACAUCAAGAUUGCAGGUGAAUUCCUCCAGUUAAUGUAACAGAUAUGUUAAGUCCGUAAAGUUCCCGUAGGUCUGUCACUGUUUAUGAAGUUGGGAACAAAGAAACCCAAUAUUCUGUGAGCCACAAAAGAGAUAAACAAAAAGACAAACUCCCCUUACUCUCAGCACUUUUCAUCUCUGCAUUGCUAUGCCCAGAAAAAGAGAACAAUCCAGAGUUGCUUUUAGCAUUUACAACUCAAUACAAUACAAAAUUGUGGAGGUGAACAACUUUUCAAAUUGACUUACUUUUUUCUUCAAAGUGGCUGUGAGUGAAAAAUCAUUAAACAACCAUUUUUGCUUUGCACAUGGCAAACAGGUUUUUUUAAAGCUGGUGUUUGGGGAGGUUAUUUUAUUCAGCUGCUGUUUCUGGGUUUCUGUAGAACUUUAAAUGUGAUA